rnacentral:lncRNA from 1 species
GACAAACACCAAUCAAAACAUCAAAUAAAUCUAGGGGUGGUUAAUUUUUUUUCUACAUGUUGUCACUUUGUGAUUAUGUUUCAAUUCUAUUAAUUAAACAUAGAAGUUGGAAGUGAUAGCAAUAAAAAUAAAAAAAUAAAAAUUGCAAUCACUUAAAAAGUGACAAACAUUUUCGAGCCCAUUUGUGGAUGGAACCACCAAUAUUAUCUUGCCAACUCUACAAAUUCUCUUCUCAAACUUCAUGUGUGUGCAAAGCACUUCAAUUGUUCUUAUAUCUGCACAAAUGAUUAUAAGCAUUGCCAAGAAUGAAAGCACUGUAAAUUUAACAGCUCAAUGUUCGCUAAAAGUGCAU